rnacentral:rRNA from 1 species
CAGUCGCCACGGGAAUACGGAGGGGGCUAGCGUUGUUCGGAAUUACUGGGCGUAAAGCGCACGUAGGCGGCUUGGUAAGUUAGAGGUAAAAGCCCGGAGCUCAACUCCGGAAUUGCCUUUAAGACUGCCGAGCUAGCAGGUGAGAGAGGUAAGUGGAAUUCCGAGUGUAGAGGUGAAAUUCGUAGAUAUUCGGAAGAACACCAGUGGCGAAGGCGGCUUACUGGCCCAUACUGGACGCUGAGGUGCGAAAGCGUGGGGAGCAAACAGGAUUAGAUACCCCUGUAGUCCCUGUCUCUUAUAC